rnacentral:rRNA from 1 species
AACGAACGCUGGCGGCAUGCCUAACACAUGCAAGUCGAACGAGAUCUUCGGGUCUAGUGGCGCACGGGUGCGUAACGCGUGGGAAUCUGCCCUUUGGUUCGGAAUAACAGUUGGAAACGACUGCUAAUACCGGAUGAUGACGAAAGUCCAAAGAUUUAUCGCCAGAGGAUGAGCCCGCGUCGGAUUAGCUAGUUGGUGUGGUAAAGGCGCACCAAGGCGACGCUCCUUAGCUGGUCUGGGAGGAUGAUCAGCCACACUGGGACUGAGACACGGCCCAGACUCCUACGGGAGGCAGCAGUGGGGAAUAUUGGACAAUGGGCGAAAGCCUGAUCCAGCAAUGCCGCGUGAGUGAUGAAGGCCUUAGGGUUGUAAAGCUCUUUUACCCGGGAUGAUAAUGACAGUACCGGGAGAAUAAGCUCCGGCUAACUCCGUGCCAGCCGCCGCCGUAA